rnacentral:rRNA from 1 species
UUGCAGGCUGCAACUCGCCUGCAUGAAGUUGGAAUUGCUAGUAAUCGCGAAUCAGAAUGUCGCGGUGAAUACGUUCCCGGGCCUUGUACACACCGCCCGUCACACCAUGGGAGUCGGUAACACCCGAAGCCUGUAGUCUAACCGCAAGGAGGACGCAGUCGAAGGUGGGAUUGAUGACUGGGGUGAAGUCGUAACAAGGUAAC